rnacentral:rRNA from 1 species
UUAGGCAAGCGAUGGGGUGACGCAGGAGGGUAGCUCCGCCAGGCGUUGGUUGUCCUGGUGUAAGCGUGCAGCUCGAUCCCUAGGCAAAUCCGGGGGUCUGACUUUGAUGUCGUGGGUGAGGCGUGAUGCAUAGCCGAUUGAGGCGAAGUAGAGUGAUCCCAUGCUGCCGAGAAAAGCCUCUAGCGAGUGCUGUUGCGGCCCGUACCCCAAACCGACACAGGUGGUCAGGUAGAGAAUACCAAGGCGAUCGAGUGAACUAUGGUUAAGGAACUCGGCAAAAUACCUCCGUAACUUCGGGAGAAGGAGGACCAUCAACCUUGAAGCUCUUUACGGGCUAGGGGAGGGUGGUCGCAGAGACCAGGCCCAAGCGACUGUUUACUAAAAACACAGGUCCGUGCGAAGUCGCAAGACGAUGUAUACGGACUGACGCCUGCCCGGUGCUGGAACGUUUAGAGGACCUGUUAGUCCCUUUGGGGGCGAAGCGGAGAAUUUAAGCGCCAGUAAACGGCGGUGGUAACUAUAACCAUCCUAAGGUAGCGAAAUUCCUUGUCGGGUAAGUUCCGACCUGCACGAAUGGCGUAACGACUUGGGCGCUGUCUCGACCAUAGACUCGGCGAAAUUGCACUACGAGUAAAGAUGCUCGUUACGCGCGGCAGGACGGAAAGACCCCGGGACCUUUACUAUAGCUUGGUAUUGGUGCUCGGUUCGGCUUGUGUAGGAUAGGUGGGAGACUGUGAAGCGGCCACGCCAGUGGUUGUGGAGUCAUUGUUGAAAUACCACUCUGGUCGAAUUGGGUGUCUCAACCUCGGGCCAUGAUCUGGUUCAGGGACAGUGCCUGGUGGGUAGUUUAACUGGGGCGGUUGCCUCCCAAAAUGUAACGGAGGCGCCCAAAGGUUCCCUCAGCCUGGUUGGCAAUCAGGUGUUGAGUGUAAGUGCACAAGGGAGCUUGACUGUGAGACCGACAGGUCGAGCAGGGACGAAAGUCGGGACUAGUGAUCCGGCACCACCUUGUGGAAGGGGUGUCGCUCAACGGAUAAAAGGUACCCCGGGGAUAACAGGCUGAUCUUGCCCAAGAGUCCAUAUCGACGGCAUGGUUUGGCACCUCGAUGUCGGCUCGUCGCAUCCUGGAGCUGGAGUAGGUCCCAAGGGUUGGGCUGUUCGCCCAUUAAAGCGGUACGCGAGCUGGGUUUAGAACGUCGUGAGACAGUUCGGUCCCUAUCCGCCGCGCGCGCAGGAGACUUGAGGAAGGCUGUCCCUAGUACGAGAGGACCGGGACGGACGAACCUCUGGUGUGCCAGUUGUCCCGCCAGGGGCAUGGCUGGUUGGCUAUG